rnacentral:rRNA from 1 species
UACGAAGGGGACUAGCGUUGUUCGGAAUCACUGGGCGUAAAGCGCACGUAGGCGGAUUUGUAAGUCAGGGGUGAAAUCCCGGGGCUCAACCUCGGAACUGCCUUUGAUACUGCGAAUCUUGAGUCCGAUAGAGGUGGGUGGAAUUCCUAGUGUAGAGGUGAAAUUCGUAGAUAUUAGGAAGAACACCGGUGGCGAAGGCGGCCCACUGGAUCGGUACUGACGCUGAGGUGCGAAAGCGUGGGGAGCAAACAGGAUUAGAUACCCGUUGGUAAGUC